rnacentral:lncRNA from 1 species
AAUAUUGUGAUGUAUGCAAUCACAAUAAUCACAUGGAAAAGUGUAAUUGGUGUAACUCUUAUUUCUUGUGACUAGGGGCUAGCUUCCCCUGUGUAUCCUUUCCUAAUUCCUAUAAAUAGGUGUCCCUGGCAGGUGAGAAAUUAACCUAGCACAGUCCAGAGUUCCAAAUCCAAAAUCUCUCCUCUCUUUAUAUAUUUCCUUCUCCCUUUAAUAUAUGAAUUUGUUUUCCUUUUUAGUUUCUUUUAGCAAAGAAACAGUGUCUAUGGGAAAAAGAGGGAUAUGAGGCACUAGUUAGUGAGAUUGUUGACAGAAGAUAGAGAGCACAGAUGAUGUUAUGCAUAUUAUAUAUACAUGGAGCUGAAUAGUGUUGCAUCUCACUCCUUUGUGCUCUCUAUGCUUCUGUCAUCAUCUUCACCCUCCAUUUCUCAUUCACCCUCUACUCCAAGUUUCUAACUGUUUAUUAAUAUCAUGCUUCUCUUGUUGUAUUACAAUUCAAUCUUACAUUUUAUUAAUGAUAAUAUAUAAUUUUUAUCAUAUUAAAUAUGUGUAUGUUUUUUAUCAUAUAACCUUGUUUUUUCAGUAGUUUGAACUUGGUUUUUUAGUAUAUAUAUGUAUAUAUAUUUAUUAAGGUAUUCUUUGUAUUUUGCUAUCAUGAUUCAGUUUUGUUGAUGGUAUGAAAGGAAGUUCAAAUGACAAACUGAAGGACUUAACUUGUGGGGGAGUGCAAUUCAUUUUGUAAGUAUAUAUCCCUCUUCUUUCAUAAGCUUAUAUUAACCUUCUCAUUUUUUUGCUGUGUUUUAACAUCCAAAUCCUUUUGUCAAUAUUUGAUAUUUUGACCUAAGUUUGGGUAGCAUUUUCUUUCAUUUUUAUUUCUUUCAUAGCAAAAUCUGACUUUUUUCUAUGGGUAGUGAUAGUUUGUACAAUAAACAAGCAUAUUAGAAUUAUAAAUAGACUGCUUCAUAGUAAAUAGAUGUAUUUAUUCAUAGAUAGACAUAUAACUUAUUCAUCAAUAAACAGACACGUUUCUUCGUGGAUAGACAUAUUUGAGGAUGAGUUCUUUUUUCCUUGAAUAUAAAAAUGAAAUUAUUCUCUAAUAUCUACACAUGUUUUUUCUUGAAAGUAAGAUUAUCAAAAUUGCUGGAGAUAAUUAAUGAGUACUUGGAUAAAUUCCAUGGGAGAAUUUUUUUCGUAAGCAAAUUGUAUUAGAAGCCAGAGUGCUAACCCAAUACAAAAAAAAUCAUUUAAUAAUCUAUUUGGAAUAUAUAGUUAUGCAAUAAAUUAGAUCAUUAUACUAAUUCGCAAAUAUCAAAAAAGUUGGAUCUAUUUUUGAAAUAAAUCAAAUCUAAUAUAUUGUUUGAAUCAAAUCCAUAAUAUACCUAUAACUCACUUUCUUGUUAAAAAAAUUUAAAUCAUUCCUCAUAAUCCAAAAAGAUCAAAUCACGAUAAACGAGACUAGCCUCAAAAAUUUAGACCCCUUAAAAAUUCUACAAACCAAUGUAUAACCUUACACACUGUUGCAAACAAAAUUUAUCUCAAGAAGUAAGUUCUAGCACAAUUUUUCCAUUCCAUUUAUUUUGAUAUAUUUAUUCUUCACUUUUUUAUGACAAGAUAUAUAAUAUCACAAUAUGAUUCCAUCAAGAAAAUGUAUGUACUAGAUUUCACUCACGUUGUACUAGAAAGGACCACAUGCAAAUUGGAAAUAUUUAGAGAUAACGUUUAUCCAAAGUUAGUUUGUAAAGUUACUAGAUAAGGAUGCAUAUGACAUUAAUUUGAUAAAGUUUAUAGAAAUUAUAAUUCAUUGAAUGAUUUAAGGUCUUAAUAAGCCACGAUACUCCACAAAAGCCACGAUGAAUCAUUAUAUAUAUAGGUCUUAAUAAGUGGAGACAAAUAUGACAAAUAGUACUAUAAAGGUCUUGGACACUUUCGUGUUUUGAAAAUUACCAUUAAUGUUAAUGUGGUGUAUUUGAACUGUAAGAGUGGCAAGCAAUUAAUAUAUGCCAAUAUUAGAAGUUUCAUUUUCUUACUUGGAAAUCCAAGAUAUAGAAACUAUCUUGGGUAGGCAAAGUGAAGAGCUUUCGGUGCAAUAAUUCUUGUCCAUUCUUGCCUGAAAAAACCAUGAAAUUAAUGAAAAAUAUUCAUGAUGAAAAGAAGGAUUGUUUAUGGAAUAUAAAACAAUGAAAUUAAUAUUAGAAAAUUAACUCCAACCACAUUUGAUAUAUAAAAAUAAUAAUUUUGAAGGUAAUGUUUCUAAUUUUUUUAUUUUUUAAACCAUGUUCUAUAUAUAUAUGUGUGUGUGUGGUAAUUAGGAUGUAACUUACAUGGUCAUUACUAUUUUAAGUAGGUUUUGGUUCGUUAGAAUACAUAAAACUAGUGGAUUGAAAAUGAUUAUUUUAAUUUAUAAUGCUUCACAUAGUGAUGACUUGCAAGAUACUUGAGUGACUUAUAAUUAAGUUAAUAAAUUUCUUAGAUAAGUUUGUUAGUUGUGUUUAGCACAUAAGUUUAUAAGUCUAUGAGGUGACUUAUAAAACCAUAUUUUAUAAGUCAGGUUGAGAUACUUAUGACUUAUAAGUUCAGAGUUUAUUUUAUUUUACACAUGUCACAUAACUUAGACGCUAAUCUUAUGAAAAAAUAUUUUUUUGUUAACUAACUUAUAAGUUUCUAAUUUUCUGCUAUGCAUUAUAAGCUCUUCGCUACUUUAUAAGCCCUCAAUGCUCCAACACCACUAGCAUAUAAUCUUGCACGUUUGCAUAAAACUUUAGUAAAUAUUUUUUGGAUAGGUAUGGUGUGAUGUUCUUCAAUAAAAAGUUAGCAUAUGUGCUAUUCUCUCGCAUCUUAAUUAUAAAAAAUAGAUAAAUAAAUAAAAGUAUGAUGUGAUAAGUUUUAGUAGAGAGAGAAUAUAUAUAUAUAUAUAUAUAUAUUUUGACAGUGUAAGAAUUAUUUACAUUAUCAUUUCAUCAUUUAUAUUUAGUUAUCGUCAAAUUUUAAAUAUAAAUGAUAUAUUGACUAUGUAUAAAUCUUUAUAGUAAUUUUCUAUAGAUAUUACAACUCAUUUAGUUAAAGUUACCAUCUCAUUAACAACUAUUAUUCAUUGUAUGUAUUAAAAAUAUGAUUUUUAUAUUAUCAUUGUAUUAUUCAUUAUUCAUGUUUAAUUAUUAUCGACUCUUAAAAAAAAGUAAUAGAAAUAAAUUAUAGUAAAUGAUAUAACGAAUAUAUAAAAAUCUUUAUACUGAGUGUAUAUAGAUAUUACAUUAUACUUGUAAGCAACUAUCAAUUUAUGAAAGUCAUAUAUUGGAAUUUGUACUUAUGUUUACAUACUAUGAAUUGACAUUUGCUAUAAACAUGAAUCUCAUGGAAAUUGUACGUUUCGGCUGUUGAUUGGUUGAGUGGGUGGAUAGCAUGCAUGAUUGUGGCCCAUUAUCACGUGCAUGUCGUCUUCAUUUGUGUGCAAGUUGAUGAAGUAAAUGUGGAUUUUGGUUGGAUCUUUAUUUCUUUGGGUGUUCAUUUUAAUGUAAGUAUGUAACUAUCCAAAUGUGAAACUUUUUAUUCAAAUGUAUAAGAUUUGGGGUGCUAUUGGAAACCUAUUUUCAAAAUUGAGUUUGAUGAAAGUAAAUUUUAUUUGGGGUGUGUUUGAAAAUGUAUUUUCAAAAUUGAGUUUGAUGAAAGUAAAUUUAAUGAAUUGUAUUUAUAUAUAGAUAUGUUAUGAAUAAAAAAAUCAACUUUUGAGACUAGAUUGUCAAACAUGCACGAUUGAACAUUUAAAAAUUGAGUCCAUUACUUUCUGGUGUAAGUUUUAUAUUUUUGAAUUCUUAAUAAAUGACCUAAACCCAUUGGUUAACAUUGUUAAGAUGAAGAUGACUCAUUAUUAGAUAGUUUUCGGUUAUGAUAGUUAGGAUUAAUUUUACUUUAAAUGGUAGCUUGAGUUUCAAACAACUACCAAUUUUUCCAUUGUAUAAAGUUUCUACACUUUGCCUUUAUUAGAUACAAUUUCAAUAAUGAAAGUUCAAUAUUUUCUUCUCUUUUUGCUCUUUCAAUUCCUUCUUUUCUUUCUUGCAUGGUUGCGAAGAAAUUAAGAUGGUAUCAGAGCAAUGUAUCUAUUCUGCACAGACGCCUUUCUUAUUCAUGUUAUGUAUGACAAGAAGAAGUUCUUCCUCUUCAUGUUUCCAUCACCACUUCUUUUCUCACCAUCUUCACAAUACAUCAUGCUCUUUAAUAAAGCCUUCUGGAUUGUUGGUGUUGGGCUUUCUCUAUUAUUAUUUUUCAAUGGUAGCAUCAAGAUUAAAGAAAAAUGCAAUGCAACAAGCUUUCAAGAUCCAAUGGUGACCAAUCUUUAACAAGCUUCAAGCAUGGUCAUGAUUCUCUUUCACCAAUUUAUGUUCUUUUUUUCUUCUCACCAAUAUGAUUAUGUCUUUAUCAUAAUCUUUUACGAUCUUCAUAUUCUCUAUUUCUCUAUAUUCUUCUUGAUAUUUUUGAGCAAAUUUUGCCAAUAUUUCUCUUAAUUUUUCUCAAUAUUCUUGAGGCAAAUAUUGCCUAUUCUCUUGUUAUUCUUGAGCAAAGUUGCUCAUAUUUCAUCUCAAUUUUCUCUUGUUAUUCUUGGGUAAAAAUGCUCAUAUUUCAUCUCACUUUUCUCUUGUUAUUCUUGAGCAAAAUUGCUCAUAUUUCAUCAUGCCAAGAAACCAAGAUGGUAUUCUACUUGAACAUUGUUCUUAAAGAAAAGAAAGAAUCAUUCUUUCAACACUUUGGUAGUUCUUCCAAACUUCAGAUCCGACUUUUCACGUUUGCUACCUUAUAUCCAAGCUGAGAGUUAAUGGUAUCCACUCUCCAGCUUGAGAGGAUGUUAAAGAUGAAGAUGUCUCAUUAUUAGAUAGUUUUCGGUUAUGGUAGUUAGGAUUAGUUUGACUUUAAAUGGUAGCUUGAGUUUCAAACAACUACCAAUUUUUCUAUUGUAUAAAGUCUCUACAUUUUCCCUUUGUUAGAUACAAUUCCAAUAAUGAAAGUUCAAUAUUUUCUUCUCUUUUUGCUCUUUCAAUUCCUUCUUUUCUUUCUUGCAUGGUUGCUAAGAAACUAAGAAACAUUUCUUUCGUCAACAUGAAUCUUUACUUUUUUACUAGAAAAUCAC